rnacentral:rRNA from 1 species
AUUGAACGCUGGCGGCAUGCCUUACACAUGCAAGUCGAACGGUAACGGGCCUUCGGGUGCCGACGAGUGGCGAACGGGUGAGUAAUGUAUCGGAACGUACCUUUCAGUGGGGGAUAACGUAGCGAAAGUUACGCUAAUACCGCAUAUUCUGUGAGCAGGAAAGCAGGGGAUCGCAAGACCUUGCGCUGAUUGAGCGGCCGAUAUCAGAUUAGCUAGUUGGUGAGGUAAAGGCUCACCAAGGCGACGAUCUGUAGCGGGUCUGAGAGGAUGAUCCGCCACCCUGGAACGGAGACACGGUCCAGACUCCUACGGGAGGCAGCAGUGGGGAAUUUUGGACAAUGGGGGCAACCCUGAUCCAGCCAGGCCGCGUGAGUGAAGAAGGCCUUCGGGUUGUAAAGCUCUUUCGGCCGGGAAGAAAUCGUAUCAGCUAAUACCUGGUGCGGAUGACGGUACCGGCAUAAGAAGCACCGGCUAACUACGUGCCAGCAGCCGCCGUAACAC